GAGUUUGAUCGUGGCUCAGGACGAACGCUGGCGGCGCGCCUAACACAUGCAAGUCGAACGGAGUAAUUUUUUCACUCCGAACCCUUAGCUUGAAGCUGAAAGGUGAGCGUCAAUCAACGCGAAGCGUUGAUUUAGGCUUAUUUAGUAAGACUAACACCAAGCGGAGGGCUGGGAGUGAAGAAAAUUACUUAGUGGCGAACGGGUGAGUAACGCGUGAGUAACCUGCCCUGGAGUGGGGGACAACGAGUUGGAAACGACUGCUAAUACCGCAUAAGCCCCACGGCCCGGCAUCGGGCUGAGGGAAAAGGAUUUAUUCGCUUCAGGAUGGACUCGCGUCCAAUUAGCUAGUUGGUGAGGUAACGG
rnacentral:rRNA from 1 species